CGUAUUUUAGUCAAAGCUUCUUGUUCCUAAAAGGUCAUCUUAUUUACCAUUCUUUACAGGAAAGUCAAGGGUGGAGAUGUAAAGCAUCCCUUAUUAUUUGCUUGCACUAUGACACCAACUUGUGAGAUCUUUUUGGUUGACAAAGUGUGAAAAGGACAAAGAGAGGAACACACAGAGGUAAGGAAGGUCGUAGUCGCGCUGCCAGAGAAGAUGACCAUGGAGUCAAGAUUAGUGGCAGUGUAACCCCGCUCAACUCAUGCACCUCCAAUCAUCCAUAACAAUCCAAGCUCACCACAAAGAGAUGACCAGAUGACAAAUGCUUCUAAAGGAGUGAAGAAGGCUACCCAUUCCUCAGCAUCCCAUGGUUGGAAGAUGACAAGCUUCAAGUCGUCAAGACUGGGUUUGAUGACAUCAUGAGACAGGAGAACUCAGAACCAAAGGAUACCCUCCAACACAUUUGGAUACCACAACGGACGCUUUAAAUAAACUGUCUCAAGAGAAGCUACAAAUGAGGACAGUAGCUCCAACAACCGCCUAAGCCCUAGACUAUCCCUUUACUGCCAACAGUAGAGUCUGUGGCUAAGAAGUGAUACAGCUACAUAGUAAACAACAUAAACCAUGAUCUAUUUAAGCUGACAGCAAGAAUCUAGGGCUACCUGUUAUAUAUUUAAUAGACUUAUGAAUACUGAACUUAGUGGAGUACGAUCCAGCAAGCAACUUUAGUGUGGUUUUGUGGUAUUUGUGGAAUGUUAUGGCAGUCUAUUUUGUGAUCCUAUACCAGAAAGCCACAUUGAGUUAGUUUAGACAAAGGCAAGAUGGAGUCUCUUACCUGGAAGGGUCUCUUAGGCAUGUUCACAGGGACCUAUAGGUGGUUUUUUGUAACAUUGCCAGCCCACAGGUGGGUUGGAAAAGGUGCGGAGAAAACAUAAUAAAAGGCAU